rnacentral:rRNA from 1 species
UACGAAGGGGGCUAGCGUUGUUCGGAAUUACUGGGCGUAAAGCGCACGUAGGCGGAAUGUUAAGUCAGGGGUGAAAUCCCGGGGCUCAACCCCCGGAACUGCCUUUGAUACUGGCAUUCUCGAGUCCGGAAGAGGUGAGUGGAAUUCCGAGUGUAGAGGUGAAAUUCGUAGAUAUUCGGAGGAACACCAGUGGCGAAGGCGGCUCACUGGUCCGGUACUGACGCUGAGGGUGCGAAAAGCGUGGGGGAGCAAAACAGG